rnacentral:rRNA from 1 species
CGCGUAGGCGGCUUGGCAAGUCGGUCGUGAAAUCCCUCGGCUCAACCGGGGAACUGCGUCCGAUACUGCUGAGCUUGAGUCCCGGAGAGGGUAGCGGAAUUCCCAGUGUAGCGGUGAAAUGCGUAGACAUUGGGAGGAACAUCAGUGGCGAAGGCGGCUACCUGGACGGGUACUGACGCUGAGGCGCGAAAGCGUGGGGAGCAAACA